rnacentral:lncRNA from 1 species
AGCUGCAGUGGCGGGGAGUGGGGUGCGGAUCUUGUGUUUGCGCACGCAGUCGCCGGCCACCUCAGGCCGGAGCUAGAGAUACGGCUCGGGAUAGGAGGGCCCGGCGGCUCUGAGGCAGGUUCGCCUCGAGCCGCACGGCCCGGAGCAGCGGCUCCGCGGUGGUCCCCGGGGCUUGAGAGGGGUGCGGGCCUGGGAGCCCCUGAGGGCCUGAUUUACGGAACUCCCCCUCCUUCCUCCUUUCUGCCGUUCCCUGCUCUGUGGCGGAUGCGCAGGGAUCAGUAGGGACGGCAGCAGUAGGGCCACUCGGGCCUGCCCCGCUUCCCGCAUUGCCCGGUUUGGCGCGCCGCCUCCGGGCCUUGGCAAAGCCCCAGCGCCCGAUUGUCACUGACCAGUGCUUGGAAGUCCUUUACCGACUGCCCGUCAGCGUCCCGCGGAGAGGAUUUUGCGUCUCCAAAGACGCCCCUCUUCCGAAAACAGGCUCCUCUGUGUUCUCAGUCGGGUAUAUUUUUCUGUCUCCAAACUAGAUUGGCAGCCGUUUUUUGAGAGCAGGGUCUUGCUCUGUUGCCCAGACUGGAGUGCAGUGGCGCCAUCUCAGCUGACUGCAGAUUCAACCUUCUGAGCUCACGAAAUCCUCCCAUCUCAACCUCCUGAGUAGCUGGGACCACAGGCUGAGCACAGGGUUGCUCCAGGUGGGCCCAAAUGCUGAAGAGCCUCAUGUUAGAGUUUUUCACCUCUGCGAUGGAACUGUGGUGGACUCCAGUAUCAUCAUUCCAGGGAGGCAUAGCCGCACCAACUGUGUUCCCAGGUUUCACAUGGAGAAGGGUUUUAGAAAGUGCAGAUAGCCUUGAAACCAUUGGUUUCCUACCACUGUUUAUUUCAGCAUAACUUUUUUUGUGUGGAAUGCUAGCUCUGGAAGAGCAGAAAUAAAUACAGCUUAAGCUUUGAACC